CACGUAGGGGGCGAGCGUUGUCCGGAUUCAUUGGGCGUAAAGCGCGCGCAGGCGGCUCGGAAAGUCGGGUGUGAAAACUCGGGGCUCAACCCCGGGCGUGCAUCCGAUACUGCCGGGCUUGAGGCAGGUAGGGGAGAUCGGAAUUCCUGGUGUAGCGGUGAAAUGCGCAGAUAUCAGGAGGAACACCGGUGGCGAAGGCGGAUCUCUGGGCCUGUCCUGACGCUGAGGCGCGAAAGCUAGGGGAGCAAACAGG
rnacentral:rRNA from 1 species